UAACACAUGCAAGUCGAGGGGUAGAGGAAGCUUGCUUCCUUGAGACCGGCGCACGGGUGCGUAACGCGUAUGCAAUCUACCUUUUACAGGGGAAUAGCCCAGAGAAAUUUGGAUUAAUGCCCCAUAGUAUAGUUUUUUCGCAUGAAGAGAUUAUUAAAGUUCCAACGGUAAAAGAUGAGCAUGCGUCCCAUUAGCUAGAUGGUAAGGUAACGGCUUACCAUGGCGACGAUGGGUAGGGGUCCUGAGAGGGAGAUCCCCCACACUGGUACUGAGACACGGACCAGACUCCUACGGGAGGCAGCAGUGAGGAAUAUUGGUCAAUGGACGCAAGUCUGAACCAGCCAUGCCGCGUGCAGGAUGACGGUCCUAUGGAUUGUAAACUGCUUUUGUACGAGAAGAACAUCCCGACGUGUCGGGACUUGACGGUAUCGUAAGAAUAAGGAUCGGCUAACUCCGUGCCAGCAGCCGCGGUAAUACGGAGGAUCCAAGCGUUAUCCGGAAUCAUUGGGUUUAAAGGGUCCGUAGGCGGUUUAGUAAGUCAGUGGUGAAAGCCCAUCGCUCAACGGUGGAACGGCCAUUGAUACUGCUAAACUUGAAUUAUUAGGAAGUAACUAGAAUAUGUAGUGUAGCGGUGAAAUGCUUAGAGAUUACAUGGAAUACCAAUUGCGAAGGCAGGUUACUACUAAUGGAUUGACGCUGAUGGACGAAAGCGUGGGUAGCGAACAGGAUUAGAUACCCUGGUAGUCCACGCCGUAAACGAUGGAUACUAGCUGUUGGGAGCAAUUUCAGUGGCUAAGCGAAAGUGAUAAGUAUCCCACCUGGGGAGUACGUUCGCAAGAAUGAAACUCAAAGGAAUUGACGG
rnacentral:rRNA from 1 species